rnacentral:lncRNA from 1 species
UUUUAUUUAUGUUUUUUAUGUUUAGAUAAUUAUUUACGCUAUUUCUGCUGGAGUUACUAAUGGUCUUUUGUUUCUGUUUUUAUUUUUCCUUUCCUUCACUGAGCCGAGGGUCGAUUGGAAACAGCCUCUCUAUUCUUUCGGGUAGGGGUAAGGCUCGUCUACAUAUUACCCUCCCCAGACCCCAUUUUGUGGGACUAUACUGGGUAGUUGUUGUUGUUGUAAUAGUUGAAACUAACUGUUGGAUAUGAAUGUGCAAAGUUGGUAUAUAUCUGAAGGUUAAAUACUUAUAUACAUGUCAUUUGUUGGUUAAGUCUCGAAUGAUGUAGAUCUGUUUGUUUGGAGUUAAAUAACCAAUUUUCUUAAAGACAUGUAAAGGGCGAACAAGAUGGUUAGCUGCAUUCUCGAAGUUAGCUGCAAUUUGCGGCUUUAAGUUGCUAAAUAAGUUCUAUCUUAAAGGUUAAAUACUGGUUUGCUACAGUGUUUCAUUCCCUCCAAAUAUGUGGGAAGCAUAUAGUUGAGAUUUAAAAUAUCAAUUUGACAAAGCAUAUAGUAUUCCACUGACUAUUGGAAUCUAUGGAAGCAUUUGAUUGAAACUAAAUAUGGUAUAAUGGUGCAGACGAAUUUCGAUUUGCAAGCAAAUGAGUAAUGUGGUUGGAAUUUGAUGAGAUUAUAGUUGGAAAUGGCAGAAGAAUAAGGUUGUCGCAGGAUGAACGACUGGAAGCGAGAUUCAAAUUCUUAAACCUAUACAUCUUGUCUAUGAUAAAGAUUUUACUAGUACAAAUGAUUGAAAAAGAAAUUGGAAUUGAAUAUUUUAUUAGAAGGAUUUCACUUAUUCAAUAGAUGUUACUACUGCAUAAAAUAUACUGAAUUUGUAAACACAUUAUAUGAUGGACAUCAUGCAUGUUUGUAAACUUACUUUGGGGGAUUAUCGGCAAAGUUUGACAAUCUAUAAGUUGCAGUAAAGGCUUAUCUUUGUUGUCUAUAAACAUAUUUGUUGUAUGUCCUAUUUGUUCUGUACAUAAAUGGUAAUGUAUGUGCUUAGUAGAAGCAGCUGAUAUGGUUCUCUUAUGAUUAAAAAUACCAAGUUCGUGAUGUUGUCUGUUCAUAGUAGUUGUUCUCUUGAAUGAUAAACCUCGAAUUGUCAUAUCAGGAUUUAUCGAAAUAAAGUUUGAUUUACCAUCCCAAAGAUUUUCUAGUUAUUUUUUCUUAUAUUUUCCUAUAUUGCUAGUUUAAAAUUUAUGUAUAUGUUAUUUUACCAAUAGUAUUUAUCAUCUUUUCAAACUUUUGUACUUACAGGUUUUGAAGAUUGAAGCUACAAGUCAAUAUGCAAGUUUCGAAGAUGCACAAGCUCAUUAUUAUUUUGCUAAAACAUAGUCUAGCUCCGAAUGUUUGCUAAGUUUUUUUAAUUAAGAUGUUGAGCAAAUAUAGAAAGUAACAUUAUCAUGGGAUGUGAACUUGAUAUAUUAUCUUUUUGUAUCUAUAUUGAUGAAAAUAACUUUUUGUAGUAUUAAGCUUUAGGACUACUCAGGGUUAAUAAGAGACCAUGAAUAUGAUUGCUUACUUAUAAAACUAUUUUAAAUAGGAACCUCGUCUCUAAAAUAUAAUCUAGGACCAUCUAAAGAAUGAUCGCUAAAAUGGUUUAACGAUUGAAAUGACGAGAUAUGUAGUCUAAAAGUAAUUUGCGACCAUAUUUUC